AUCAGUCAAUUCCUUUUGUGAAAGCUGGUGUGGGUACAAGGUGCCUUUAGUUCUGCAGUUUGAUGCAACGGGCUAUGACAUCAGUGAGGCAGGCAAGCAAUUGAAGCAACUACCAUGAAGAUAGUACUGACUGACAUAUGACUUUUUAGUAUAUACAUAAGAGUGUUACCCAGGCAACCAGGGCCUGGAAUGUCUGCAAGAAACCAGCCGCCACUUUCAAAGCAAUGCAUGAUGGGCAAAUUGCUUCCAAUGUGGAGACAGCUUUAUCCACUCUUAUGCUCUUCGCUGACUGACCAGCUGAGUGGUGAUGCCAUGACCAUGUGAUCCUUUGGCUUGUAGAGUCUUCACAGCCUUCCUGUUAAUCAUCCUCUGAAACUGCAAAUAGGAACCUCGUCAGACAUGGAGGCACAUCAACUGGCCUUUUUGUUCUCUCUCAGCUAACCAAGGAGACCUGGGCAUCAAAGCUGGUCUCUCUGCAAAGUUCACAUUUGCAUUUUGCAUGGCAGGGGCCACUUUCCUUUCCCAGUUCCCGCUGCUCUUCUGAGAGUCGGAGGGGAAAAAGUGUGCACCAAAUAAAUGAGCUGUUUGGUAAGAACAUUAAAUUAAAACACAUUAUGUUUCACUUACAUAUGCUUCGUGCAAUAACAAAAUGUGACUGAGCUCAUUGUUAACAUGAUGAAGAAUGUUGGAAACGAAACAGAUCUUCCCUGAAAACCCUGAUCACCUUUUAAAUUUCAGAGCAAGGAGAGAGUCAUCAACAAUGGAAAUUCAUUCAUCCUUGUAUUUUUCCACCAUUAGGGAUACAAUUCUAGCACACGGCUGAAUAUAAUAAUGACAUAUUAUUGAAAAACAUAGGAGGCUUCGGCUUCACUGCUCCCAGAGAAUGUCUGGAGAUUAGAAAAAUGGGGCACAGACAAUUUGCUAAAAAACAAAAAGAGAUAAAACUGUGCAGUGUGCAGGUUAAGCAAGUGAGCCAAGAAUCUGCCACUCCUUUUUGUUCUCUCAUACCACACUGAGGAUUUUAUUCCCAUCGCUCCGGCAGAUGAAAUUCUGGGUGAAAUAUUGCAGGACUCCAGUAAGACAGGUGGCUCAUUAUCCACAACAUCAACAAAGAGGGAGAGAGGAAAAACGACCACCAAGGUUUUUGAUAUGAUGCAACACCUCUUCCUCCUCAGAGGUUUCCUAAUGUAUGUAAUUAGAAUCAAGGACAGAAUAAGGAAAUGCUAAUGAGGCAUCUCUUUGGUUUUUUUGAUGUCUUUAUGCUUAUAGCAGAAUCAUGCUUUUUGCAUUGUACAGUUAAAGGUUUGAAAGGUAAGGAAAAAGUCAUCCUCGAAGAUUUCUGGAUACUAUAAGUUAUGUUUUUCAAAAUGUCAGCAUGCUGAAAACUCCCUGCUGGUGGACGUCUAGUUUCUUUAUUAAGUGGGAGAAAACAAGUGAGGAUGAAUUGCUUUGGAGAGAUAUGAAACUGUUGGGAAUAUCUGUGUUUCAAUGUGAUGAAUGAGCAAUGAUCCCUAUGUAAAUGGCAAGAACAUUAAUAAGGCGAGUAGGGUUUGGUAAAGGAAAUGUGGGUUUUCAUCUUAGUGAUUUGAGUUAACCCAGUUACAGCCUGGUGCUUGACGAAUGAUGUAGUUAGCGUUGCCACCGGAAAGUGUUUGAUAAUGAGGAAACUGCAGAACAGAGACUCAUGUAAAAGAAAGGAAAGUAAGGCUCCUCUGACAUGAGGUUAAUCAACUACAACUGCCCUCACAUUAUGCACUCUAAAUCACACCCAGCUGUUAAACAGUGUUUAGCGAUAUGCAUGAAGUGGUACAUUUUGCUGCAUAAUAAAAAUAACCAAACAUGUCUCAGACUGUUUUUAAAUAACCGGGCCUGUAUGUGAGCACUUAUGGACACCCUGGUGCUAUCAUACAGUAGAUGACUAUAAUCCUCCCAGACGUUUCUGGCUGAAUUAAAAUACUAAUGCAUACAGAAUCAGCUCUGUCUUAGAAUGCUUUGGCUUUUUUCAAAAUAGGCUUAUUCACUUUUUUGAACAGAGUUAGCUUAUCGGUUCAGCCUUUUAAAUAUGAAGCUACAGCCAGCAGAUGAUUAAUUUGUUUUAACUUGAAGA